UUUACCAGGAUGUUGCCUGGUUUGGAGAACAAGUCAUGUGAAGCAAGGUUAGCAGAGCUGGGACUUUUCUCUUUGGAGCGCAGAAGGAUGAGAGAGCACUUGAUAGAGGUCUAAAAAACUAAUAAGAGGCAUAGAUAGGGUGGAUUGCUAGUACCUGUUUCCCAGGUCACCAACAGCAAACACUAGAGGGCGUAUGUACAAAGUUAAUGGAGGGAAGUUUAGGGGAGACAUCAGGGGUAAGUUUUUUACAAAGGUUUGUGGGUGCCUGGAACAACUUGCCAGGGAUGGUGGUGGAAGCUAAAACAUUAAGGGUAUUUAAGAACCUCUUGGACAGGCACAUGAAUGAAAGAAAAAUAGAGGGUCACGGGGUAGUGUGGGUUUAGUACUCUUUUUAAAGGAAUACGUGGGUCGGCACAACAUCCAGGGCGGAAGAGCCUGUACCGUGCUGUAGUAUUCUAGUGUCUAGAGUGUAGUGACUAGGGUCAUGUCGGAGGUAACUGUGUGAUAGAUGCUCCUAGUUAUACAUGAAUGUGCAGGAAAUGCAAGGAAAUGGUCAAUAAUAUAAGAAAGGAUACCAAUGUAUAUACUUUUUUCUUUCCCAGAUAUAUAAAUAGUGAAAAAAGGGAGAGGGUCGAUAUCGGACCACUAGAAACUGCUGUUGUAGUUGCAGUAACGGGUGAAAAGGAAAUGCCAGACAAACUCUGUGCAAGUCACUGGCAGAAUUCCAAAAGCAUUACAUCAACAAGAUGUGACAACAAGAACGGAAGAGAGGGGAGAGAGAGAGAGCAAAAUCAAAUGGAUGGCGGGCAUCACUGAAUCAUGGCUGACAAAAGUUUAUAGUUGGAUGGUUAAAUCCAAGGAUAAAUAUUGAAUCGAAAGGAUACGCAGAGAACAGCAUGCUGGGUCGACAACAGAGAGUCAGUGCAAGUUGUUUACUUGGACUUCCCGAGGACCUUUGACCAGGUGUCCCACAUAGACCGAUGAAAAAAUGGACAUAUCAGUGGCAAUUGGAAUGUGGUAUUGUGAGGUACGUGGCCAUAUACUUUAGCAGAAAUAAUGAAGAAGUAGACUAUUUUUGAAUCUGGGAGAAAAUUCAGAAAUCGGAGUUGUAAAGGGUCUCUGGAGACCUGGUGCAGGAUUCCGUGCAGGUUGAGUCUGUGUUAGGAAAGACAAAUACAAUGCCAGUAUUCAUUUCGAGAGGAUCAGAAUAUAAGCACAAGCACUGGCCAGACCGCACCUGCAUAUUUUGAUCCCCUGAUCAGAGAAAAUAUGUGAUGGCGUUGUGAAAAAUCCAGAGAGGAAUCUAACCGAACAGAACCUGUGAUAUUAAACUAGAUUUUGAUGGGAAUGGAUCCUGGAUGCACCUGUAGUGGCUGGAGUGUGGGAGUAUGAGGGGGAAUCUAGUUGCAACCUGUGGAAUAUCAAAAGGCAUUGAGAGGACGUGGAGAUGAUGCUUCUAAGUGGGGGAGUCUAGAACCGGACGGAACAGCCUCAGAUUAGAGGGACGUCCAUUUAGAGCAGAGAUGAGGAGAUUAUUUAGCUGAGGAGUAGUGAAUCUGUAGAAUUCAUUGGCAGUGACAGCUGCGGAGAAUAGGUCAUUGAGUAUAUUUAAAACAGAGGUUGAUAUCUUCUUGACUAGUGAUCAGAAAAGUUCACUGGGCGAAGGCAGGAGAAUGGGGUUGAGGGGGAUAGUAAAUCCCCAUGAUGUAAUGGCGGAGCAGAAUCGAUGGGCCUAAUGGACAAUUGUGCUCUUAUGGUCUCAUGAUGUGUAAAGACAAAAUAAGAUUAAGAAAUGUCAGUGCGGCUAUCUUAUAAUGGAGAUGGUUACUGCCUGGCACUCAUACUGUAAAAUGGUAAUGACUUCCUGAACGCAGGCAUGGGCUUCCUGAUUAACUGAAAAAUUAUGAAUUAAACUUUGAAUAGUCUUCAAGCAACAUACACCUAUGCUGGAAUUAAGGUAACUGAAUAUGGAUGGGCUUAGGACAUUGCUCUGAGAAAUAAGAGAGGCAGCGUUUAAGGGUAAGCACAACGUUGUGGGCCGAAGGGCCUGUACCGUGCUGUACUGUUCUAUGUUCUAUGUUCUCUGUCCCGGAUUUGAAUGGAUGAUCUCCUAGAACAGUUACCAGUAGGGAAUUGGAAAGGUUUUCCAUAACACGAUGAAUGGACAACAAUUAUGUAACAAAUCUGCAUAAUUCCCUGAUGGUCCACUGCACUGUAAAAUAAUCCCUCAGUUUCACUACUACCAGGUCUGAGGAGUUACCGUUGUGAAAGAAAUUUAACCAGUAAAGCAGACGUCUCCAGAUGACGAAUUUAUAGAUCGGCAUCAUAUUUACAGAUUACCCAUCUUGCCUUUGGAUAAUGCCUGUGUGAUUCAUUACAAACAGCGCCAAUGAAUCCCAACGGGAACAGAGUUCCUCACGGGUGCAACACACUUGAUUUUCUAAUACCACUCAUGGCUGAAUAGGUCAGAUCUAGGACAAGACAAUCACUGUUUGUGAGCUCCAAGGAGCUGAAAUGGUGUGUCCCUGUCUCUCAUUAGUCAGAUAUUCAGCAAGUUAGCAGAUUUAUUUUUUGUUUGCCCCUUCCCUUUCAGGACAACCUGUUGAUUUUUUGGGAUCAUGAGAUAUCAGCCAGUCAGCAGAUUUAUGUUUUGUGCUUUCUUCUGCACUUUUAGAUCAAACUGUUGAUGUUUGUGGUCGUACGAUAUCAGCUUUGUGCGUGAUCUUUCACAUCCAAUCAAUCUCAGAGUUUUUCGUGGAAGUUAACAAGAAAGUUGAUGCAGGCAAGCUUGUGGAUAUUGUCUACAUGGACGUCAGCACGGUAUUUGUCAAGGUCCCGUAUAGGAGGUCGGUCUAGAAGAUUCAGUUGCUUAGCAUUCAAGAUAAAGUAGUAAACUGGAUUAGACACUAUAGAUUGUUGCAUUUCUGAUUGGUGCCUGUAUCUCGUGCAGUGACACGGGGAUCGGUGCUGUGCCUGUUGUUGUUUGUCAUCUAUAUCAAUGAUCUGGUUGAAAUUACGGUUAACAGCAUCAGCAAAUUUGCUGUUGACUCCAACAUUUGGAAGGUGCAGUGGACAAAGAGGAAGACUACACGACCUUGCAGUGAGGUCUGGACCAACUGAAGAAUGCGCUUAAAAGGGGAAGAUGCAACUUAAUGCA